CCUGCCCCUAGAUGCGUUGCAGGUGUGGCUGCUGUCUUGUGCAUCAGUGGGUGGCAGAGAGGAGGAAGGCUGUGUCUGCACUCCGAGUUCCGGCCUAUGAACACAUGCAUGACUAGUAGCCUAACACU